AUAUUUACCUGGCAGGGAAGAUACCAUAAUUACAAAGGUGAUUUUUCUCAGGGUGAGACUUAUCCAUUGCCCUCCAGAUGGGCUGACCCCUGCAAUUUCCCCAGAUAUGGGAAACUGAACUGCUUAAUUUGUGGUAGUGGGGGACUGCGUUUGUGCUUUCCCCUG